UUUUGGUCAAAUUGUCAAAACCCUUUAUCAAAAAAAGUGAUCAAACACAUCACACCAUCUCCUCAUCAACAAACACACAUUGAAAUGGCGACGGCAGGUCGAUCUAUUUUCCGAUCAACCUCCAUCCGGAACGCGGCGGCGAGGGUGGCGUCUCAAUCGAAAUCUGCUCCUCGCUCUCCCUUUUCCACCCCUCAUCGGAAUUCUUUAUCUCACCGCUUUUUACGAUGUCCGGUGGAAAUGAGUGCUUGUUUGGAGUCACUGCAACCCUUUCACACCGUUACGUCUUCAGCUUUGAUGACAUCAAUGCUUACUCUUUCUCAAAAUGGUUACGGUUGGCUCCCUGAAGGUGUUGACAAGACUAGAUGAAGAUCGAGAAUAAAAGAUGUAAUGACUUGGAUUUGUCUAUGUUGUGAAGCUUAUUAUGAAUAGGGAACAUUUAGGUUCAUAUACUAUAUAUCUUGGUUAAGGAUGAGAUAUGAACUUUUGAAAUGAGCUACAAGUCAAUGCUUGCAAUGACGAUUUGUGAUGAUUGUUGACAAGUUUGAAGCAUAAAAUCAUCUAGAAUUCCUACGAUCCAUUCCAUAGGACCUACUUGAGUACUUGGUGUUGCUUAGAUGUUUAUGUUGUCAAGGAGUUGCUGAAGCAGAUUAUCUUGGCUUUAUAUGAUAUGCUUUAGUGAAGCAGAUUAUCAAUUGUUUUUAAACCACAAGCUCGAAUAAACUGCUAGAACUUUUUUUUGUUUAGUUUUAAUGAAUGUAUCCACUUCUUAUGUGUUUGAAUUACAGAUUGUAAUUGAUAAUAUACAGUGCCUGGUUUCUUUUACUUUAAA